rnacentral:rRNA from 1 species
CCCUUAGAUGUUCUGGGCCGCACACGCGCUACACUGAAGGAGGCAGCGUGUACUCCUGGAUCGAAAGAUUUGGGUAACCCGCGAAUCUCCUUCGUGCUAGGGAUUGAGGUUUGCAAUUAUCCUUCAUGAACGAGGAAUUCCCAGUAAGUGCAAGUCAUAAGCUUGCGCUGACUACGUCCCUGCCCUUUGUACACACCGCCCGUCGCUACUACCGAUUGAAUGAUUUGGUGAGGACUUCGGACUGGGACCGAUGCGGCUUUCGGGCUGCGUCGGUAUUCUGGAAAGAUGUCCAAACUGUAUCAUUUAGAGGAAGUAAAANUCGUAACA